UCCAGGGUAGCCUAGUGGACAUGGCAUCUGCCCUGUAAGUGGAACACUGUGGGUUCGAUUACCAUCCCUGGAU
rnacentral:tRNA from 1 species